rnacentral:rRNA from 1 species
AGGAUGAACGCUGGCGGCGUGCUUAACACAUGCAAGUCGAACGAUGAAGGCUGGAGCUUGCUCUGGCUGGAUUAGUGGCGAACGGGUGAGUAACACGUGAGUAACCUGCCCCAGACUCUGGGAUAAGCGCUGGAAACGGCGUCUAAUACCGGAUACGAGCUUCCACCGCAUGGUGAGGAGCUGGAAAGAAUUUCGGUCUGGGAUGGACUCGCGGCCUAUCAGCUUGUUGGUGAGUAAUGGCUCACCAA